GCCCACUCAGCCAUCUACCCACUCUUCCAGCUAGGGUUGACUCAACAACGUCCAGGGACCAGGAAGUACGUCCAGAGAAUCAUCAGACACCCUCUGCCCACGCCCCCCCACCUCCCACCUCCUUCCCGCCUCCACUUCCCUGACAACACAAGCUAUACACAGAGGACGUCUCCUGAGACCAAGGAGCUCCACUUUGCGAAGGCCUCCCUCCUGACAGUGCACUCCAAAUACCGUGUGGGAAGUCCCAUGUCUGUUGUCUGCAGAUGUGGGAAAGGAGAAGCAGAGAGCUGUACACCCUGGCUUCCACGCCCACCAGCAGCCCAUCACACCUUCUUCCUGAAAUAUAAACAGCCGUGUCCUCCUAUCUGUGUUUUCCCAUCUUCUGAAGUUUCAAUGCCCCCCCAAUCAAUCAGCCAUGGUCCAAAAGUAUUAAGUGGAAGAUUCCAGAAAUAAAUUCUAAGACUUAAAUAA